rnacentral:rRNA from 1 species
AAUGAACGCUGGCGGCAUGCCUAACACAUGCAAGUCGAACGAGACCUUCGGGUCUAGUGGCGCACGGGUGCGUAACGCGUGGGAACCUGCCCUUAGGUUCGGAAUAACUCCCCGAAAGGGGUGCUAAUACCGGAUCAUGUCUUCGGACCAAAGAUUUAUCGCCGUUGGAUGGGCCCGCGUUGGAUUAGCUAGUUGGUAGGGUAAAAGCCUACCAAGGCGACGAUCCAUAGCUGGUCUGAGAGGAUGAUCAGCCACACUGGGACUGAGACACGGCCCAGACUCCUACGGGAGGCAGCAGUGGGAAAUAUUGGACAAUGGGCGAAAGCCUGAUCCAGCAAUGCCGCGUGAGUGAUGAAGGCCUUAGGGUUGUAAAGCUCUUUUACCCGGGAUGAUAAUGACAGUACCGGGAGAAUAAGCUCCGGCUAACUCCGUG